rnacentral:rRNA from 1 species
UACGUAGGAGGCGAGCGUUGUCCGGAUUUACUGGGCGUAAAGCGCGCGCAGGCGGCACACUAAGUACGAUGUGAAAUCUCCCUGCUCAACGGGGAGGGUGCAUAGUAAACUGGUGAGCUAGAGGACGGUAGAGGGGGGGUGGAAUUGCUGGUGUAGCGGUGAAAUGCGUAGAGAUCAGCAGGAACACCCGUGGCGAAGGCGGCCCCCUGGGCCGAACCUGACGCUGAGGCGCGAAGGCUAGGGGAGCGAACGGG